GAGAGUGGAGGAAACCCCUGUUUAAAGCGAUGACCUAGUUUACUCUUUACUUCUUUAUGGUAGGCUAUGAACAAUAGAGGGACGUACACAUCAGCGGCGCUAGCCUUUACCCAGCCACCCCCCACAUGCUGCAGCGGAAACGCAAACACAGUUUCUGGUAUUGCUACGUAAAUACUCUGAAGGGAAUUGUGCAAGGUCGUCAGCACGCUCUCCCAUUGACAAACAAAAAGUCAAGUGCAGACGUCGAUCCCCUUUCAGCCGACGCACGAACAGCACUCGUUUGAUUCACGUCACGUCAGAGGAUGAGAAGGCAGAUUCGAUUGAAACGGUGACAUCGGUUCGUAUUCAGAACCGUCAAAGCUGCGAAGCUGUGGCCUAUUCAUCUAUAACAAGAGCCGACUACACGAGCAAAUAUUUGAAGGGCCGUCUAUUAUGUGCACUACAGUCUGAGUGGACGGACUCAUCCGUGUCCGUGUGAGCCAAGUGAACUCAUUCUGUAAUUGGAUCAGUCAUUGAUACUCGUGCGUUUGCCAGUGGUUGAAAACGGGGCAAAAACUGAAUACUGAGUUCAAUGUAUUAUUAUUAUUAUAGGUCCAUUCUGCAUAGAGAACACAGAGUAUGGAAUAAGUCUAUUUAUAGGGGCUGAUUAUAACAAAUGACUUCUUAGGUAUCAUUUUAAAACGUUUGUGUCUACGCCAAAGUCCUUAUUUCCUCGUAAAUUAUUUUAUUUAAACACACAAUUAGUUUUUAAAUGCCACGCUCCGCCCACCGUAAAUCCUCCCCGUCUUCAAGUCUACAGCUGCAAAUAGUCAAAGACAAAGACUUCUUUCUCAAGGCUCGACCUGGACCGCAGCCAGGUUCUGCUAAGACCGUCAGGGCACAGUUAGCGCGGAGAUAAACGUGUGCAACUACAUUAAAAAGCUUCUCUUUUUUUUUUUAUUUGUUUGUUUUGGGAAAUGAUCACCUUAUCAAUAUGAAGAAUAUCUGUCAGGUCACAGCAAAGAACAUUUACACUAAAACAACAGGAGUACUACGAGCGUCAUAAAAGAAUCCACAGGUGGAUUAAAGGGCUGACGGGUGGACCAGUGAUCUGACUAACUCCGGCUCUAUUUCUGGUUUACGACUGUUUAACAAUGAGCAGGGGGGGGGAAAGAAAAAAAAAAAGUGCCUCGGUCAUGCUGGUAUUGCAGGCGGAAGGAACGAGAGGCGUGCGCAGCCUAUAGCAUAAUGUGCAGCCGGCUACACCGCUCCGUCAUCACAUGACUUCCUCCAGUCUGUCGAGCUUUAAGAUGUAGGUCAACGGUCAACUUCCCUAUGAAAGGGCACGUGUCCCACGUCACAAAUGACACAAAAGUCAGAAACCGAAAAGUGCACUCGGUCAUUUAUCAAUUAUCUACAACACAGCAGGGAUGGAGGAUGGAGGGAGGGAGGAGGGGGGAGGGAUUUUGCCCAGAUUUAUCUUGUUUAGGUUAAACUGCUGCUUAGCAUCUGCCUGCUGUUUGAAAAUGAGAGGCUUGUCUAGCCGUGAGACAACAUACCUAUAUAUAUAUAUAUAUAUGCUGUAUGUAAUGAAGAAUUUAAAGUGUACUUUCAUUCAUCAGGUGAACUAUCUGAGUUCUAAUUAGGGCUGAGUUUUUUAGAAAAAAAAAUAUUGAAACUGAUUUGAAAGGUCUGAUAUUGAUUCAUUAAAGCUGACCUUUUUUUUUUUUUUUAAAUCCACAUGUAUUUGCAAGACUAUUCUAUAACUAGUCUAUUGAGUUCACACAGCAAGAUCAGUCCACAUAUCAGUCCAAAACAUGACAGAAGCUACGACGCCAAGAGCCCUGUCAGGCCUUUAAAGCUGAAUGGAUUCAUAAAACGAGAGCAGAGCUGCAGGAGAGUAAAGCCACGUUUAAAAUGUGUCGACUAGAGGUGAAACGCUGUGGAAAUGCCUCAAAUUUCUGGGACAGAUGACAAAUCCUUUUGUAUUUUCUGCUGCCGGAAAGCUGCAAAUGCCCCCACUGUGGGAUAAAUAACGGAUCGUCUUAUUUAAUAACCGAGAGAAAGAGUUUCAAAAGCGAAAUAUAUAUAAAAAAAAAAAUGAACGAAUCAAACCGCGUAAUCGAAUUGAUUCAGGAAAUCUGUGGCACCACCACGCUCUCGUCUCCAUUAAUUACAGUUUUUCUCUGGAAUAUUUUAUGCAAAACAAAAAACAUAAACUAAAAAUUCUCAUACAAAACACAGCUACAGGGAAGGGUCUUUCUAGACGUAUGUUCUGCUCGUGUGGCCCCUGAUUCCAGAGAGAAGCAUCUUUCCACUGAAUCUCAUUCGGAUUAAGAAGACGCUGUGUCGUUGUCUGGGGGAGGAAACGGACACAACUGAUGUGCGCAGAAAGCUGUAAUGACACAACAGACACGACUGAUUUAAAGAUGGCAAUAGGAGGACUAGUUUUCAGCUUUAACUUCAAAUGAAAAAAAAAAUGUUACGUAGUAUUUGUAACAUAGUCACGUUAUAUUUCUUGCACCUAAUCACCUGUUACUGAUUAACUGAACUGAUGAAGUGAUUAACCUCGAAACUAUUUUUUGCAUUAAUCUAUAAAAUUUAAAAAGGUGCAAAACUGCAAAAUACAAAUCCCUUAAGAGCGAGACAAUGUCAUCUCACGUCUCAUUUUACCUGAUGAAUAAUGCACGAGGCAAACGUAUAGGAUUCACCAGGAAACUCUGACAACUGAGAAGCAACAAGAGGCACCGUUUCAUCUUUUCUGCCUUAUCUCGCUGACAUAAAAUAAACUCGAUAUAAAUUGUCAAAUAAAUGAGCUUUACUUCUCUAAAAAAACAAAACGUGUUUUAAACUAGAACUUGACAAACAGAUCAUCUGCUUGAUUCUACUGGCCUCGUCACAGAUUUAUAUCGGUUAUCUGAGUUUAUGCUGUCUGAUACGCACUGAUGUGAGACUUUUCAAAGGAACAUAUUGCAAAAAAAAAACAAGAGAAAACAAUGUUUGCCAUCACAUUUUCUCCAGCAUUCUUUAUUUAUAACGCUCCGAGGCCUAAAUACGCCUCACAGCUCACGCAGGUGUAGAGUCAAGCGGGUCCCUCACGUUAAGUUGCCAACUCGUUCCUGAAAUUAAUGGACAAAGAUCCAACUUAUUCCCAUUAUGUCACUCAAGCUAAGCACCAUUUGCUGUGUUAGCGGCGUAGCUAGCCAUUAGCGAAGGCCGACCGCGUUAUUGAUUGAAUUCUUGUGAUGACUGUGACUCAGUGUGAAUCUCUCCUUCCGUACCCGUCGUUUGUUUGAAAUGAUCACGCUGCCGCCAUCUAAAUACACUUGGCACUAAAACCCUCCACCACGACUGUUUUAACGUGCAGUUUAUGUUGAAACAGCGUCAGAAAUAAGUCAACUGUACGAUCAUUACGGGGGAUUAGUAGCUUGUGGUGCUGUCAAACGGGAUUAAAUUAAACUCUAAAGUGUUUCUUUUAUGUAGCCUAGCCCACCGACUAAAGCCGGGUUCUCAAAAUAAUAGAAACGGUGCUUCAAACCACAGGCUCCAAGAUGAAAACACAGAUGAAUCAACAGCUCGCUCAGUUAUUUUAAACCAACGCUGAACACCGUAACCUCCGCUGCAGGACUGUUACAUCACAAUGCAUUUGUUUUCAUUAGUGUGUAAUGCCAGGCCGCAAAAUACCCAAAAAAACAAAACAAACACCUCCCUGUUGAGUGAGUCCAGUCCCUGCAGGGCAACGUGAUGUGUGCAUCUAAGCCAAGCAUUUAAAUUCCUCGCUGAGCUACAACGUGGAACAGAGAUACCGUGCGUCAUGUGAAUAAAAUAACUGUGUCAAUGUUAGAGCUGUAAACUGCGAGUUGGAAUGUUUAAAAUGCAGCAGCAGCUUAAUAAAUAACAGCGUCAACAUUCGGGACAUUUUAAAAUUCAGCCUGGAACAACAGCUGAGUAACGUAACAACGUUAUAUAUUUAUAUUGUUAUAUAUUUUUUUCCGCUAUAAUAUUAAUUUUCAGUAUAUUUGAUCACACGGUGCUCGGGAACAAUUUUCAGCGUCUAAACAUGCAUAGUGCGGUUAUGUCACUGUGAGGCGUGGUGAAGAUGGAAAGGUCGGAAAAAUCAAGCGGCAAAAGGAGACGACUUGUGCCAAAAAAAAGGAAGGUGCUGUUUCGGUUGUUGUAUUUUUUGUUUGUUUGUUUUUUUUUGAGUGACCAGACGUCCCCGAUGUCUGGGGACAGUCCCCGUUUUGGAUGACGUGUCCCCCGGCUAAAGCUGUCCCUGAAAAUGUCCCCAAUUUUAGCUUUUUAUGAAUGAGGGAAAAAAAAUGUUGAGCACAGGCUACAAUUAUUACGGUAGUCGUUCACGCUGCGAUUGACAUUACUGACAUUAAAUACAUUAAAUAUGUUUAAAUAUGAAUAAAUAAAUUAAACCGUGUGUCCCUGUUUUCAUUUUCAUUCAUCUUAAUAAUAUUUAAUUCUGUUUUUUCCACAUCUGCAGGCAGUGCUACAUGUAUUUACUCAUCAUCACAGUAAAAUAGUCCUUAGUCAAAAUGCUGCAUUAAUUCCUCUCUCAACUAGUAGAAAACGUUGUGAACACUUAAUUAUGAAUGAAAAAAAAAAACACUGUGAUAUACAUUUUUAGUCGUACCUCCCAGCACUGUGACAACAUUAUGCUUCCUGAUAGUGUUCAUAGAGGCAUCAUAGAGCAUUCAACAUGCUGGAUUUGCACAGAAACAAACACGUCCCACUGGCUGCAACGUCCCACAAUGUUAUCAAGCGAAAAGGGGGAAGUGGAAACAAUGGCAUUUAAUAACUAUUUGGGCAAAAUCGCUUUCCUCUGUCUUUCCCAAUGCGGAUUGUGCUUACAUUGUGUCGUAUCCCUUUGAGCCACUGACACCGGCCGCCUUUCAUUUGUGCAAGUCAUGCUGAUUUUUUUGCUGGUCACAGUCCAGCCGCGUGGGUUUUUUUUUUUUUUUUCUCGCCAAGGCAACUAGGGCAGUGGGCGAGCAAGUCAAGUUCGUCCGAGUCAGCGGGGCGGCCGCGUGGAGCAACAGCACGACCCUGAAAUGACGGCCUUUCUGGAAACCAUGCCUACCGAGAACCAGCCAGGGGAAAAAACGCAACUGGCCGGGCGGGAGCAGCCUAAAAAUAACAGCGGACGGCGAUCAUGUGCUCGGCGUCAGCACAGACGGCCGAGUACCUGUGGACUCUUUCACCGCUAUCUCUUAUAAAAGCCAGAACAUGAUAAAACAAGACGUGCAGAUCUUCUCAGGCAAAGGAAGAACGUCCGCAUGCCAGUUGUGAGGCCGUGUGCCACAGAGAGGCUGAAUUUAUCGCGGCCGCCUGUCGCCUUUCCACGGGGAGGUCAGACGGCCACGCGGCGGCGUCUCUGCGGAUGAUCUGCAGCACAGCCGACCUUCAGGCAGCAAGAUGGACGAGCGGCUACAGCUCCUUCACCUAAAACCUCCCUAUUUCACUUCAUAAAGAUUAAAGCAUAAAC